ACACUUGGAAACAGGUGCUAAUACCGCAUAACCAUCAAAACCACCUGGUUUUGAUGUUAAAGAUGGUUCUGCUAUCGCUUUAAGAUGGACCCGCGGCGUAUUAGCUAGUUGGUGAGGUAACGGCUUACCAAGGCAAUGAUACGUAGCCGAACUGAGAGGUUGAUCGGCCACAUUGGGACUGAGACACGGCCCAAACUCCUACGGGAGGCAGCAGUAGGGAAUCUUCCACAAUGGACGAAAGUCUGAUGGAGCAACGCCGCGUGAGUGAAGAAGGUUUUCGGAUCGUAAAACUCUGUUGUCAGAGAAGAACGUGUGUGAGAGUAACUGUUCACGCAGUGACGGUAUCUGACCAGAAAGUCACGGCUAACUACGUGCCAGCAGCCGCGGUAAUACGUAGGUGGCAAGCGUUGUCCGGAUUUAUUGGGCGUAAAGGGAACGCAGGCGGUCUUUUAAGUCUGAUGUGAAAGCCUUCGGCUUAACCGAAGUCGGGCAUUGGAAACUGGGAGACUUGAGUGCAGAAGAGGAGAGUGGAACUCCAUGUGUAGCGGUGAAAUGCGUAGAUAUAUGGAAGAACACCAGUGGCGAAAGCGGCUCUCUGGUCUGUAACUGACGCU
rnacentral:rRNA from 1 species